UACGGAGGGGGCUAGCGUUGUUCGGAAUCACUGGGCGUAAAGCGCACGUAGGCGGAUUGUUAAGUCAGGGGUGAAAUCCUGGAGCUCAACUCCAGAACUGCCUUUGAUACUGGCGAUCUCGAGUCCGGGAGAGGUGAGCGGAACUGCGAGUGUAGAGGUGAAAUUCGUAGAUAUUCGCAAGAACACCAGUGGCGAAGGCGGGUCUCUGGACAGUUCCUGACGCUGAGGCACGAAGGUCAGGGGAGCAAACGGG
rnacentral:rRNA from 1 species